rnacentral:rRNA from 1 species
UGCGUAGGGUGCAAGCGUUAAUCGGAAUUACUGGGCGUAAAGCGUGCGCAGGCGGUGAUGUAAGACAGAUGUGAAAUCCCCGGGCUCAACCUGGGAACUGCAUUUGUGACUGCAUCGCUGGAGUGCGGCAGAGGGGGAUGGAAUUCCGCGUGUAGCAGUGAAAUGCGUAGAUAUGCGGAGGAACACCGAUGGCGAAGGCAAUCCCCUGGGCCUGCACUGACGCUCAUGCACGAAAGCGUGGGGAGCAAACAGG